rnacentral:rRNA from 1 species
UACGUAGGGCGCAAGCGUUGUCCGGAAUUAUUGGGCGUAAAGAGCUCGUAGGCGGCUUGUCACGUCGGGUGUGAAAGCCCGGGGCUUAACCCCGGGUCUGCAUUCGAUACGGGGCUAGCUAGAGUGUGGUAGGGGAGAUCGGAAUUCCUGGUGUAGCGGUGAAAUGCGCAGAUAUCAGGAGGAAUACCGGUGGCGAAAGCGACUCUCUGGACGGUUACUGACGCUGAGGCACGAAAGCGUGGGGAGCAAACAGG